AGACCUCCUGGGCCAAGGGUCGCAUGACCACGAGGACUGAGGAGCACUUCGUGACCGCGCUCACUUUUCGCAGCAGUAGAGAGGGACAGCCUGGGGAACGCUGGGGCCCUGCUGAAUCCCGGGCUCUCCAGGCACGAACAGGGGCAUCCCGCGUCCACGCCGCGGGGAGGAGGGUUUCACCGUCUCCAGGGACUUGGCUCGAGGAAAUUAAACUCUAAUGAGUAGCUCGAGAAAUGUUCCGGGAUGGUGGAUGAGCGAUCAUCCUUAAAAGAAAAUGCUAUUCUGGGAGCUCCAACCUGCAAUUAACCUACAGAAGGAACCUUUUGAGAGGCUGGUGCAGCGCUUCGGGGAGGCAGAUUAAGAACUGACCUAGAAACAGAAGUGAAGUUUGAAGUCUGCUCUCUGCAAAGAGGGUGGGAGUGGGUGGAGAAGAGGCUUGUUUUAAAAGCCAAAAACAGAAAGUAAAAAGAAAUGGGAAAGUAAAACCAAAGCAGCAAGUGACUCUCUUCUGAUGUGCACUUUUCAUUUUUCUCCCCCACAUUUCAGUGUUAGAAAGAAAACGAGAGGAGCUAGGGAAAGAAGGAG
rnacentral:lncRNA from 10 species